AUUCAUGUAGUGCGAGGAGCGCACGGAACUCUGGGUAGAGAAUGGAAGCAUAGCGUAAUCACUCAAAGUCAAUAAAAGCGUGCAAUCGAUGUCGCCGGCACUUUAUUAGAAAAUAAGCUAAAUCAAAUCUUAUAUUUGUGUGCUAUACAUUCAUGGACGCAUAGCCUCCCUAGGCAUGAAGUCAUUGGUUGGUCUGAAAUUUGACAAACGUGUCAAGAUGUAACAUUCGUUACCGAGAAAUUAAUUAAAGGGAAUGGUAGAACAAUUUCCCACGUGUUUUUGCUCUCUGUCUGCAUGAUAUGGUAUACGGCAUGAACGUCUACUAUGAACAUGUGAGUUUGAAAGUCAAUACGUGUUAAACUUUGAGAAUUAGGAUUAAUUUUCUCUUAUGAAAUGGCGCUUGUGAGAGCAGAAGUACAGAAUAACUACCAUGAAAAAAAAUGUAUUAAAACAUAAGAACAACCAUGAAAAAAUGUUUUAGAAAUAAUAUUAUAUGCUCCCCUUGUGGCAAUACUGAAAAGGUAGAAUGUCUGUAUAGACAGUGAAAAUAAAGGUUUAACUAUCGGUCAAAGGCUACCAUAAUGAUACAUGUAAGUUUUGUCUCUCAAAAUACGUAUAAGCAACUGGUCAUUUUAGUAAUUUUGUAUGACCUUUGACCUUGUGACUUGGAAUCCAAUGGGGGUCAUCUAUUCAUAAGGGGCACCAGUGUUUCAAGUUUGAUGUCUAUCAAGGAAAGACUUCUCAACGGACAAUAGCGUAUGUCCAGAGUAGUUUUACCGUUGUCCUUUUGACCUCAAAAUUAAUAGGGGACAUCUAUGUCUUAAGGUUCACGUUAAAUAUUCAUUCAUAACACCACGUGGUGGAUUAUACUGACAGUUUCUAUGGAAAGGUAUUCCAAAAUAAGCAACAAAAACAUAAGAUUCGGUAUACAUUUAAUCAAAAUGUUGGGAAAUUAAACAUUUUCUUUAUAUUAUUAUUGUAAACAGAUUGGUAGAAAUGGGUAAAUAUGAUUCUUUCCAUUUUUUGAAUAGAAAUGAUGUGUUUAUAGUAAUGAAAGGAAAAAUAAGAAACAUACGUUACUUUCAUUGUUUAUUAUAACAAAGAGCAAUCCAGGUUUCAAAAUAUGUGUCUGUUAUUUCUAUAAGAAUCAUGAGCAUUUAUAUAGCGAAACAUCAAUCUUUUACUUUUGUUUUAAUCGCAUAUUUAUUGCAAAUUUACAAAUUCAGAAGAAAAGACAUAUUUGGUAAAUUUUUUUGCUUGUCUACGUUAUAUUUCUAUUAAAAUUGGUAUU